GUUAUCUUGGCAGAAAAAUGUCUUAGGUUUAGGACCUAAUUAUAUAGUGAGUGUUAACUAUAGAUAAUA
rnacentral:tRNA from 1 species